rnacentral:rRNA from 1 species
UACGUAGGGGGCAAGCGUUGUCCGGAUUUAUUGGGCGUAAAGAGCGUGUAGGCGGCCAGACAAGUCUGCUGUGAAAACUCGAGGCUCAACCUCGAGCCGCCGGUGGAAACUGUCUGGCUAGAGUCCGGAAGAGGAGAGUGGAAUUCCUGGUGUAGCGGUGAAAUGCGCAGAUAUCAGGAAGAACACCUAUGGCGAAGGCAGCUCUCUGGGACGGUACUGACGCUGAGACGCGAAAGCGUGGGGAGCGAACAGG